rnacentral:rRNA from 1 species
GGUAAGUCGGGACCUAAGGCGAGGCCGACAGGCGUAGUCGAUGGACAACGGGUUGAUAUUCCCGUACCGGCGAAGUUGCGCCCAUGACGAACCUGGUGAUGCUAACCACCCGAAACUCAUCGGACCGGACCCUUCGGGGCGAGGCUGGUGAGCGGAGCGUGGGACCCGAACUGGUAGUAGUCAAGCGAUGGGGUGACACAGGAAGGUAGCCCAGCCACAGCGAUGGUUGUCUGUGGGCAAGCGUGUAGGACGUGGUGUAGGCAAAUCCGCACCAUCCACUUCAGUGUGGAGUCUGAGACGUGAUGCGGAGCCAUAUAUGGCGAAGUGGGUGAUCCUAUGCUGUCGAGAAAAACCUCUAGCGAGCAACGAGCCGCCCGUACCCCAAACCGACUCAGGUGAUCAAGUAGAGAAUACUAAGGCGAUCGAGA